CUCUAUCCAGGUCUGUGGUUGCGGUUUUUCCUAGUCCAAGGCAGAUGCGGUCAAAAGGAUCCACGUAAGUUAUCGGUUUUCCGAAACGAGCAUGGCGCAUCCUAGAGGUAAGACGUACCGUUCGGGUUUUAUGCAACAUAGGGUUGCACGAACGAGAGGACGACGUCCGCUUUGCGGGCUUGGUUCCAGUAUGCGAGUGUGGGGUCAAAGACCAGGUCAGCUGGAAGAG
rfam:Eggerthella sp. CAG:209 genomic scaffold, scf132